rnacentral:rRNA from 1 species
GUGCCAGCCGCCGCGGUAAUACGGAGGGGGUUAGCGUUGUUCGGAAUUACUGGGCGUAAAGCGCACGUAGGCGGAUUGGAAAGUUGGGGGUGAAAUCCCGGGGCUCAACCUCGGAACUGCCUCCAAAACUAUCAGUCUAGAGUUCGAGAGAGGUGAGUGGAAUUCCGAGUGUAGAGGUGAAAUUCGUAGAUAUUCGGAAGAACACCAGUGGCGAAGGCGGCUCGCUGGCUCGAUACUGACGCUGAGGUGCGAAAGUGUGGGUAGCAAACAGGAUUAGAUACCCGAGUAUCC